GAGUCCGGUCUGUUCCGGAGACUCUGAGCGCGGCCGCGGAGCUGCAGUGGCGGGGAGUGGGGUGCGGAUCUUGUGUUUGCGCACGCAGUCGCCGGCCACCUCAGGCCGGAGCUAGAGAUACGGCUCGGGAUAGGAGGGCCCGGCGGCUCUGAGGCAGGUUCGCCUCGAGCCGCACGGCCCGGAGCAGCGGCUCCGCGGUGGUCCCCGGGGCUUGAGAGGGGUGCGGGCCUGGGAGCCCCUGAGGGCCUGAUUUACGGAACUCCCCCUCCUUCCUCCUUUCUGCCGUUCCCUGCUCUGUGGCGGAUGCGCAGGGAUCAGUAGGGACGGCAGCAGUAGGGCCACUCGGGCCUGCCCCGCUUCCCGCAUUGCCCGGUUUGGCGCGCCGCCUCCGGGCCUUGGCAAAGCCCCAGCGCCCGAUUGUCACUGACCAGUGCUUGGAAGUCCUUUACCGACUGCCCGUCAGCGUCCCGCGGAGAGGAUUUUGCGUCUCCAAAGACGCCCCUCUUCCGAAAACAGGCUCCUCUGUGUUCUCAGUCGGGUAUAUUUUUCUGUCUCCAAACUAGAUUGGCAGCCGUUUUUUGAGAGCAGGGUCUUGCUCUGUUGCCCAGACUGGAGUGCAGUGGCGCCAUCUCAGCUGACUGCAGAUUCAACCUUCUGAGCUCACGAAAUCCUCCCAUCUCAACCUCCUGAGUAGCUGGGACCACAGGAUGGCACCUGACUUGAAGAUAGCACCUGACUUGAAGAUGGCACCUGACUAGCAUUUGGACUGGUUUGCAGGCUGAGCACAGGGUUGCUCCAGGUGGGCCCAAAUGCUGAAGAGCCUCAUGUUAGAGUUUUUCACCUCUGCGAUGGAACUGUGGUGGACUCCAGUAUCAUCAUUCCAGGGAGGCAUAGCCGCACCAACUGUGUUCCCAGGUUUCACAUGGAGAAGGGUUUUAGAAAGUGCAGAUAGCCUUGAAACCAUUGGUUUCCUACCACUGUUUAUUUCAGCAUAACUUUUUUUGUGUGGAAUGCUAGCUCUGGAAGAGCAGAAAUAAAUACAGCUUAAGCUUUGAACCAUAUCCUGCUGUACUUUUUCUCAUAAGCUGGAAAUAGAAUUUUCUAACACCGUUUGUGGUUGGAAAUACUGAAUUUAAAUGGGACUGCAGAUAUAAACAAAAAGAACAAGAUGUGGAUUGAUGUGCCUAUUUCAGUAAAACACAGCCACAUUAUUUCUGAAAUAUGGAUACUAAAGAUGACAAGUAGAAAAAAAAUUGGAGAUGUGCACAGUUGUGACAAUAAGCCUUUAAACGUCACUAGUAG
rnacentral:lncRNA from 1 species